CAGAUAUCUUUCUUCACAACCGAGCUGCCCUCUCUUCUUGCUCGGACUCUCGCUCAUCUGAGCUCCUCUGGAGCAGCAGCAGCAUUCCGGCUCCUACUCUCUCUCUCACCGUUCCCUCAGCCAAACGAGCAGUAAGUCGAGCUCACCGCUGCCUUGCUCAGCCUCUCUACCAUUGAGCUACUGCAUGGAGCACCCCCUGGAGCACCCCCUGGAGCCCCUCCAUCGUCACAUAAGCCCCCUGUUAGCUCCCUUGCCCGCGAGCUCACGCGCGCUCGCGCGGCCUGUUUCAGUUCCGGCCGAAGGAUAAUGCACACCGCCGCCAUGAUUCUUUCUCCUCCGGUGAGCCCACGUCAAUUCCUCCCGGUCAUGACUUCUUCAAUGCCUUGUGCCCCUCCUUGACUGAUCCUUGCCGCGAAUCCGUAGCUGCGCGCCGCCAUGGCCGUUUUUGCCUCCGCCGGUCACCAUUGCCGCCACCGAAGCACCUCACCGGCGAUCCACCACUCCACAUCUUCUCCAAGCCAAUUUGCACCAUGGAGAGCUCCACCGUGACCGCCUGGACGUAGAGCGCGCACCCCCUUGGCACCGGCCCGUCGCCGGCAUGAUGCUCACCGAGAACCACGCGUCGUCGUGCCACCUUCCCCGCCGCUGGCUGUGCCCCGGCCGAGCCCGUCGGUCAGUACCUACCUGUGGUUGUUCCUCAUCGUGAGGCGUAGCUGAGGGUGCUCUCAGUUGGCCGAGCCGCUGUCUUUUUCCACCGUCGCCGGCGUGCAACCGCCGCCGCCUGCAGCUAAACUUCGGAACCUCGGCGCCGCAACCAGUCGCAUGACUUCACGCCGCUUGCUGCCGUCGCCAUUGCCGCCGUCGAGCUUGCUCCGGCCACCUCCGAGCCGUGCGUGUCACUUCGCGAGGAUCCCCAUGGCGCACUGAACAUCUUGGUACCCUCCGCUGGCCGAGCCGUCGCCGGAACCGCCGCCGGCGUUGCCUCCAGCAAGCCUCACGAAAUAUUUUAUGUCCAUUGCUGUGGAUUUUUUUGGAUGGAUUUAUUUGCAUCUUUCGGUGUUUAUCGAUCAAAUAUUUGGCGUGUAUAUAAGUGCGAUCAACGAUGAACGAUAGAGAUCAGAAAUAUCACAAAGAAAUAAUGCCAGGAAAUCAUGGAAGCGAUGAUAUCGGGUCUUUCUAGGAUUCAACUCCCAGUCGGUUGCCUGUGGGCGGGUUUGAGGCACACCCGCUGGAUAUUUGAAUCUAUUUCAUUGUAUUUUUCCGCUGCAUAUCUUCUAUAUUGUAGACCGGUUGGUCAUAUUGUUGUAAAUUUAAUCCAAUUAAACAUUUUCACCUUGUAAAAUGUAUGGAUAUGAUAUCACUGUUGUAACCGUGUGUACUUGCUACUGAUCAUGGGACAAGUACAGUGGAAACACGGAGUUUCGGGUAAUCUAAUUACCCGGGGCGUCA